UACAGGGGGGGCAAGCGUUGUUCGGAAUUACUGGGCGUAAAGGGCUCGUAGGCGGCCAACUAAGUCACACGUGAAAUCCCCACGCUUAACCUGGGAACUGCGUGUGAUACUGGAUGGCUUGAAUUCGGGAGAGGGAUGCAGAAUUCCAGGUGUAGCGGUGAAAUGCGUAGAUAUCUGGAGGAAUACCGGUGGCGAAGGCGGCAUCCUGGACCGACAUUGACGCUGAGGAGCGAAAGCUAGGGGAGCAAACGGG
rnacentral:rRNA from 1 species